rnacentral:rRNA from 1 species
UCGGGAAUUUUGGGCAAUGGGCGAAAGCCUGACCCAGCAACGCCGCGUGAAGGAUGAAGCUUUUCGGAGUGUAAACUUCAUAAGAAUGGGACGAAUAAGUGCGGGUUAAUAUCCUGCAUGAUGACGGUACCAUUUGUAAGCUCCGGCUAACUCCGUGCCAGCAGCCGCGGUAAUACGGGGGGAGCAAGCGUUGUUCGGAUUUACUGGGCGUAAAGGGCGCGUAGGCGGCGCAACAAGUCACUUGUGAAAUCUCCGGGCUUAACUCGGAGCGGUCAAGUGAUACUGUCGUGCUAGAGUGCGGAAGGGGCUACUGGAAUUCUCGGUGUAGCGGUGAAAUGCGUAGAUAUCGAGAGGAACACCUGCGGCGAAGGCGGGUAGCUGGGCCGACACUGACGCUGAGGCGCGAAAGCCAGGGGAGCGAACGGGAUUAGAUACCCCCGUAGUCC